rnacentral:misc_RNA from 1 species
AAAUAAUAUAUCCAAUAAUUAUUACUUAAUAUAUUUUAUAUUAAAAUUAUUUUAUAUUAAAUUAAAUUUUAAAGAUUUAUGUGAGAUAAAUUAAAUUUGAGGAGUGUGUGGUAUAUUUAUUGAAAUUGAGGGAUAAUAAGUGAAAUUUAGCCAUAAGUUAACUUAGAGACCUGUAAUAGCAGGUCACAGAGAAGUUUAGAGAUUUUUAUGAUAUAAAUUGAAGUUGAAAGAUGAUACUCACCUAAGUUGAGGGAUUAUGAGUGAAAUAAACCCCUAUUUCUUCUUGUAGUUCUUGUAAAUACUUUAAAAACUAACGCCUUAUCUCUUACAUGUGAAGAUUAUAUUCAAAUGAUAAUAAAUUGAAAGUAAAUUUAUCUUUAAUGAUUUAUUAAAAUUUAAUUUAAAAAGACGAAGUCUAAAGAAAAAACAUAGUUUGUAUAAACUUUUCUUAUAAUUUUGUAAAGCAACAUUAAUAAUAUAUUAUUUUAGUGAUUAACUAAUUACCAAUGAAAUAUUUAAAAUGGAAAAAUAUAAUGCAUGGUAGUAUUUUCAAUUAAACAUUUUCAUAAAUUGAGAAAUGACAAAUUAUGUUUUAUAUAUAUGUAAUAGUAGACUGAGUCAAAUAGAAACAAUACUUUUAGGCAUUCAGUAUAAAAAAGUGAGAGAAGUAUUAUUUUAGUUUAUUUAAAAUGAAGUAGAUAUUGGUUUCCACUUUCCAGAAAAAAGAAAGAUAUUAGAAAAUGAUAAUUAAUUGUAUUGAAUAACUUAGACUGAACAAACUUCCUAAUAUACUUUCAAUCAUAAAAAUGUCUGUUUCUUUUAAUUACAAUACAAUUCUAAGUCAAACUAUUAAAAAAGAGACAAGGCUUUAGUUAAAUGAGAGGAAAUUAAUUAGAACAAAAUAAGUGAGGAAUAAUGAAAUAUCAUCGACAUUUUAGAAAAUUGCACUCGUGAAUAGUGCAAUAGUGCAUGGGCCAUGUACUCUUUUUAUAUAGUAUAGAUGUAGAUAUGGAUAGAUAACAAUUUGUGUAAAAGUGUAAUUAUUUUUAAGUUAAUUAAUAAAGGAAUUAUUAGCAUAACAAAAACCCAAUAGUAUACAAAUGUUUGAUUAACCUUGUGACAAAAGUUGUUAAAAAUGGUAAUCUGUGAUAAAAUGAAUCAUAUUGGUAUUGUAAGAUUUCAAUGAAGUAUAAAUUAAAUGAAUAAAGACAAAACAUAAUAGGAAAUUACAAAAUUAUUUAAGGGUAUCAUAGGAAAUUCAAAAAUUUCAAGUUGUGAAUAGUGCAAGGGCCAUGUACUCUUUUUAUAGAGUAAUAGAUUACUCUUUUAGCUCUGCAUUGAAUUAGAAAACAAGCGUGUGAUGUUUGUGCACUGGGUCACCCAUUUUUUAUUAGAAGGAGAUUAAAAAAUAAUAAAAAUGUAACAGGCCAUAUGGACUGCUAUUGCAGCUUAUUCACGCUUUUGUAACUAUAGCUGAUCCUUAUGUGAUGUACUUUUUAUUUUCUUUUGCAAAAACGGCAAAGAUAUGUUGUCUGCUUAUUCAUUUUGCCUCAACGUGGCAAGUGACCUUCUAUGUCUUGCUCUCAGAUGCUUCCAUAAGACUGGCUAAAUGGGAUGCUUCAAAAGUGAGGGAGAAGCUUCGCCGUGAUAUUGAGACACAUGCCUCAUCUGUAUGCAAUUUGAAGUUGUCAGAAAUGAUAAAAAAAUAUGAGAAACAACUCGCUGGCGCACUUACUGAACCUGUAGAAUCUCUAUUUGAAGCUGGUGGGAGAGACACAUGGGUUUCAAUAAGAGGACUUCUUAAACGUGAGACAGAGGUUGCUGUAUCAGGAUUGUUAGCUGAUUUUGCUAGUUUUGAGUUGGAUAGGUCUACAAUUGACACAAUGGUACAAAAUAUGAGGGAUUAUGCAAGAAAUGUAGUAGAGAGAAAAGCAAGAGAAGAAGCAGGGAAAGUUCUGAUUCGCAUGAAGGAUAGGUUCUCAGCAGUUUUCAAUCACGACAAUGAUUCAAUGCCAAGGGUUUGGACUGGAAAAGAAGACAUAAGAACAAUUACAAAGGAUGCACGCUCUGCGUCUUUGAAACUUCUGUCGGUCAUGGCAGCCAUACGCUUGGAUGAGAAGCCAGACAAAAUUGAGAAUGUACUUUUUUCCUCUCUAAUGGAUGGGUCUGUUGCUGUUUCAUCUUCUCAAGAUAGAAGUGUUGGAGCUACUUCAGAUCCCCUUGCAUCAAGCACAUGGCAAGAGGUUUCUCCAAAAGAUACACUAAUUACUCCAGUUCAGUGCAAGUCAUUAUGGAGGCAGUUUAAAACAGAAACUGAGUAUGCAGUUGCUCAAGCAAUUUCAGUUCAGGAGGCUAAUAAACGAAGCAACAACUGGUUACCCCCUGCAUGGGCAAUUGUAGCGAUGAUUGUCCUAGGCUUUAAUGAAUUCAUGCUUCUAUUAAAGUAACUACUGCUGACUGAAAGUCUCAACUCCUAAGUCCUCAUUGCAAUUAAAAGAAAAUCUGUAUUUUAUUUCAUGUCCUUGUUUUUCAUCCAGUCGGGAUAUCCAAUUGAUUACAUGUCUUUUAUUGAAUCAGGAAUCCUCUUUACCUCAUGAUUCUGUUCAUUGUUUUUUUACUUUCAAAGGCCUUAUGGGUACAAAUGGACAUCGCAGGAGAGUUCCGUAAUGGCACUGUAAGAAAGUUUGGCUUUCGAAUGCAUAUUAUUGUUUUCUCAAAUACUAAAUUCAACUGUUUUAGCAGACUACAAUGGAAUAAAAUUGUCAUUUAUUACUCGAUUGAAUAUACAUUUCAUUGCAUUGUAUUUUGUUGCAGCAAGUCCUGUCAAAUGUGCUCUUAUACUAUGUGGAUCAUUGCACACAUCUCAUAGGAGCAAGCACAAGUUUUUCCUUAAUUUGUUGCUCCUUGUAUGUUUAAAUGUAUAACACCACCUUUUCUCAAUUUGAAUGCUGACCCAUGUUCCAGCAAGUGUUCUAAAAGCAGGACUGGACCAAACAAUUGAACUGGUUAAACCAGGAACUGGAACGACAUUCUGUCAAGUUUGAUUUUGUUUUCAAUUUUUACUUUAAAAGCAACUAAUAAUUCUUUAAAAAAAAAUUGAACCAGUUGAACUAAUUGAAGUAUUGACCUGGUCAGUGGUUGGUCCGGUUUAAAAAGCGUUGAUCCCAACCAAAUUCCAGUAUUGCAAAUUAGUUGUCAGUUAAAUGUUUCAGGCCAUUUAGCAUACUGCUGACACUUUUGUAUGAUUAUUAUGAGGCAAACGGCUUGUAAUCUGAAAGUGAGUUUGUAAUUUAACUCUGGUUGCGAGGACAGAAAUGGAUACCAGAGUUUCAUAUGAUAGUGAAAAUGCUGUUGAAGUUGUACUCUUAUUUAAGGUCUUUGAUGAUCAAUUUCUCUUUUUCUAUUCGCAGAUACAGUGUCUUAUUUCUUUGUUUUAACAGUUGGCUGGGAUACUUUCCAUUUCUUCAAGGUUCCUUCCUACCCUUAUGAAUCUUCUAAGGCGACUUGCUGAAGAGGCUCAAGGGCAUCCAGCUUCUGAAGCUCCAAGAACACAUUCACUGGUUUCUCACAGUUUCAAGAAUGAAACUCAGCGAAAUCCAAUAUCAAGUGCGAUACCCGAGUCUUCUGUAUCCUCCAAUGUUUCAUCAUCGGAUGAUGGUGUUGAAAUCUCAAGUCCAAAACUUGACACACAGGAGAAGUGAAAAAAUUCCGUAGGGAAAAUUUUCUUCAUAGGAACGGAAUUGUAUAAAAUAUGUAUUCAAGCUAGGAAAUUGCUUGGGCAGUGCUUUUCUUUUUUGUCUGCAGAUAGAAAGUUAAUGCGGGGUGAGGGGAAGACUGAGAAGUCUGUACUCUUCUACAGGCUUAUGUGAUAAAUAAGUUUCAGUCUCGGCUUGCAUUUAUGUGUAAUUAAGGAAUUCUUUGUGUUAGAAGUAUGGGG